CUUCACUGAAAGGGGAGUUGCCUUUCUUGAAAUUAAAUUUAUGAUAAUCAAUGGUUAUGUAUAUAUAUAUAUAUAUAUAUAUUUUGUCAAGUAGUAUCGACAGAGAAAAAGCGGAGGAAGGUAGAAGGUUUGAGUAGAGUCAGUCGGUCGGUACACUGAAUAGUUGGGGGAAAAAGGAUUCGUGGCUGGUUAUUGGAUCAUUUCUAACAAGAUACAAGGAGGAGGAAUUAAAAUUCAUAGAGAAGAA
rnacentral:lncRNA from 1 species